CCACCUCAGGACAUAAGGUGGGAAGAGGAAAACCCCUUCUUCCUCCCCUUUCACUUCCCUUGCUUGUUCUUUCUUUUCCUCAUCAAGCUCAUCUCAUUUCUCCUCCCCAAAUCCCAUCCAAUAGCUCAAGAUCAAUCCCUGCAUGUUAGACCACAACAAUCCCCAUCAUCCAAGCUUUCCAUCCAUCCCAACAUAAUGUGCAAGGAGAGUUGAGAGAGAUCGAGAAGGAAUAAAAGAGUGGUGGUUUCAGCCUGCAGGGCAGCAGCAGCAUUUUGUUUUCCUCCAUUUGAUCUAGUCGUUCUCGGGUCGUCAUCGUGUUUGUUGUGUUGCCGGGCAUCUCCAACGCCAUCGCUGCUUCCUGGACCUCUCCGACCCCUUUCAGCUGCACGAUUCGGAGAUUCCGGAGAGUAACGAGCCAUAUCCCAAGGAGGAUAGUUACUACCCUCAGCAGCAAGGCAAGCACCUUAGCAUAUAGAACCUAUGCUUUCUCUAAAAAGGAUUUGGUUGCAAUCUAUACGUAUAUAUAUGCAUGCAUUGCCUAGAUAUUAAUAUUGUCGGUUUAUGGUGUAUGGGUAGAACCUAUUUAUGCAUUUAGUUCUUGUGAUAUUGUUGUCCUUAUACCCUAUUACCACUAGUUGGGAUUACUUGGGACGUCUUAUUCAUUAAUGCUUAGCCAUGCUUAGUGUUAAUAGAACUAUAGGGAUGGACAGUGCUAUUAAUUGUGGUAUAUAGACAACUUGCAUUAUUGGGCAUAAAACUUGAGCACUUACACUAAAUAAUGGUUGAUAAAAUAUGUUGGACUUGGACGGGUGAUAGGACGAUGAUGGGAGGUUGGUUUCCCCUGAUGCAAGUAGCCUCGUCUAGGUCGUUAAGGACCGAACAUUUUGACAUCUAAUCAAGCAUCUUACGUACUUACCACAUGUCUUAUUUGGGACCGGCUUGUUCUUACUAGUUCUACUGUGAUCAUUUAUACCACGUUGGAGAGUCGUGAGGCAGGUAGCCUUUGGAGGGCCUCGGGUGCCUAGGUUUGGCCGGGGGUGCCUCCCGCGUGGCGCGCCCGCCUUGGUCACAUCAUGCACGCACGUGACUGAGUCGUCGGGAACCCCGACGUGGUAUAGAUGGUUGGGGUGGGAUUAGGAAAGGCAUGUAAUGAGCUUGUAUCACUCGUGUACCGCACUCGUCGGGGUGUGUAGCUUUUGAUCCUUGUUCAUUUCGUGUGGGUCCAGUUGUACACCUCUGAUCAGAGUAUAAUCUAUUCGAAUAGUCGUGUCCUCGGUUAUGGACAAUGCUUGAUGUGUUAGUCAGUUAUGUUAGCAUCAAAUGUGGAUUAUUAUGGAUGGGAUUAUGUUUGAUGGUGGUGUUGGCAUAUUGUGCCAUGUUGGUAUGGACUUUGGUGGUCCAUGGUUGAUGAUGAGAGUGCCGUUUGGGCUCAUUUGCUUAUACAUUUCAGAAUUAUAUACUUACUGUCCAUAAAUUAAAAUGAUGCUAGAUUUACUUGUCCUUGCUUAUUUUACUCAUUAAUUGCUUACAAAAAUUAGCUUUAUGCAAAUGUUGAACCUAGAGACCCACUAUAGGCUAGAAAGCUUGCAUACUUCUCUCUCCCUUAUGUAUAUACAAUUUUGGGUAAGACUUGCGAGUACAAUCUUGUACUUAACCCGGUGUCUGCAA